GGAGUAGAGCAGCUCAGAUGCCAGCAAACUGGUGAGACUUUUCAGUAGCCGCUAAGGAGGUGUCGUCUUGCUCUUCUGCACGCCUUGUCUGUAAACAGGAUGUGUGAAAUUGCCGUCUAGCUGGGUGGAGGCAAGGGGAUCUUUGCCCAGCUGCGGAGACAAGGUAAAGAAAGACGCACUUUCUGGAGGCUCUGUGCUUCGUGGGCACUUCUCCUAGGCUCUGGGGAGCUCCCGGAAGCUUGGCCUUCAUGCUCGCACAACAGAAGCAGCUCCCUGCCCGUCUGGGCACCACGGACCAUCUUGAAAAGCUAGGAGACAAGAAGACGCCAUCCAAGCUAGGUGGCUGGUGGUCUAGAUUUAGCUUGGGUACAACUCAGAAACAUCAAAUCUGGAGAACUGACAGAGCUGACUCUAACGGCAGGUCACUAAUAGGCAUGCUGGUCCCAGAGAAGGGCAUUGGCACCCCAGGUUUGCUGAUCACUUUUAUCCUCUUUGUGGAAGAAACUGUGUGCGGGGAGCUCCUGCCCGGCCUGUGCUCUUUGUCAAGGACUCAGCGUGCAGAGCACCAACGAAGAGGGCCUCCCCUUCACGUUCCUGCUGUGCCUCACCCUCCAUCCUCCCAUCCUUGGUCACACUGCCCCCACCCUCCCCAUCCCUGGCCACGUGUGUUCCCCCUACCAUCCUCCCUGUCCCUGACCAUGACCUGGGGGGCCCAGGGGUGACCAGGGCUCGGUAGGGACUGAGGCCACAGAGGGCUGAGAUGGGUAAGCCGUGUGCUUGCUGAGCAGAGCGCCCCCAGCCCAUUGACAGGAUCCUCACUCAGCCAGUCUCCUGGGAUACCUGGUGCUCUCCCCACAAUUUCUGUGAAUCCCUGUCCUUGAGUCACUGUGGUUCCCAAUCUUCCCUUUUUUCUGUCCCUUCCCGUUGAUCCUUACUACCCACUUCACAGCCCAGGGAUGCGGACUGUCUUGUCCUAGAAAAUGUAACUGGCAAUUCAGGGAUUUAUAGGAAGAGAGUUUUAUUGCAGGUUAAAACAGUGAAUCUAUUAAAACCCAAUAUUCGGGAUCCCUGGGUGGUGCAGCGGUUUGGUGCCUGCCUUUGGCCCAGGGCGCGAUCCUGGAGACCCGGGAUCGAAUCCCACGUCGGGCUCCCAGUGCAUGGAGCCUGCUUCU